AUCUACAGCAAAGGGGACAGGUGGAUGGAGAAAGUGAAGGAUGAAUACGAUUGCGCAAAAUAUUAUAUGUGCGGAUACACAUGCACGGGAAUGCGAUUGCAAUUGAGAAAGUCAAAAGCUGGGCCAAACAUAUAAAAGACGAACGAACAAAAAAAAAA